rnacentral:lncRNA from 1 species
GGGGGGUAAGGGGAAAUGAGAUGGUGCCAGCGAUUAACUGCAGCGGGUCGACUUUCAAGGUCUGAGUGAGCACUUCCACCUACAAUCAAUCUUCAAGUACUUAUGAAGCCUGAAUAUUUUAUUUUUAUUUUUCUGUGUCAGACCACGUGGACCCUAGCUAGAGAAGAGCUGGAAAGCUGGGAUUCCACUCUCUCGCGGAACUUGCAAGCCACCAAGCUGCUCCGGGACCCAUCUCUACCAAACAAUUAGCCAAGGAAGCAAAGCAAAACAAAAACAAAGCUAAGCCCAACUCGCCGCUGGCUUGGGAGAGCUGCCUUAAAUUUCAAAUACAAGGACAGAGAAAGCUCCAGCCUGCCUGGGAUUAACGAAUUCACUCUCCCCUCCCCCAAGGAAAAAAGCGCUAAAGAACAAGGUCAAAGGCGAGAGGCUCUGGGGAGUCACUAAGGUGAUAAGAGUGCUUCAGAGACAGUGACAAAGGGGUAGUCUAGUCGCCUUUGACCUUUCAGAAAAUCGUCUCAAGUGUGAUGCAGAUCAAAGUCACUGGUUGCUGAGAGUCUCUAAAAAAAGAAGCAGUAGCCAAUGUGGCUUAGGGUCUUAAACUAUGCACGAGAGAGGUUGAAGAUGAAAAGCCGCAAGGUCGGGCGAGGUUCCUUCAAGACUGUUCGGAUCACAGAGGACUCUUCCGAGGGGCAAAGAAUUUACAUCUUCAACAACCCCCCAGCAAACAUUGUUCAGCCAUGCACCCAUGUGACUUCCUCGAUGUAAAGAACUCCGAGAUAGCAGCCUCAGUUCCUUUUUCGCUUUUGAAAGCAAACAGUUCUGCAAGAAAACAAUACAAUGGCUUUCCCAGGAUUGGGGCGGGGUGGGUGUGAAGCCAAAGGAAGUGAGUUCUCUUUUUUUACUUUGUGGGUCCCGAGGAUGGCGCAGGAAUGGCUAGCCUUGGCACGAGGGCCAAUGGUUAAAAACAAGAAAUCUGAAAAGAAGGAAUCUCUUUUUGCUUUCACCACAAUGCAAAAAGAGAGAGAGGAAAAAAAAGCAAAUCAAAAUAAAAUUAAUUCAUUUUAUUAGGAUAGUUUUGUCUAAGAUCUUGUUAAACCCUAUUAAAAUUAUUGAACAGUUUACCUUUCAGAUCAACAA